GCCUAGUUAGCUUAGUUGGUAGUGCGUCUGCCUUGUAAGCGCUAGGCCGCGGGUUCGAUUCCCGCUGGCA
rnacentral:tRNA from 1 species